GAUGAACGCUGGCGGCGUGCCUAAUACAUGCAAGUCGAGCGAACAGACGAGGAGCUUGCUCCUCUGACGUUAGUGGCGGACGGGUGAGUAACACGUGGAUAACCUACCUAUAAGACUGGGAUAACUUCGGGAAACCGGAGCUAAUACCGGAUAAUAUAUUGAACCGCAUGGUUCAAUAGUGAAAGACGGUUUUGCUGUCACUUAUAGAUGGAUCCGCGCCGCAUUAGCUAGUUGGUAAGGUAACGGCUUACCAAGGCAACGAUGCGUAGCCGACCUGAGAGGGUGAUCGGCCACACUGGAACUGAGACACGGUCCAGACUCCUACGGGAGGCAGCAGUAGGGAAUCUUCCGCAAUGGGCGAAAGCUUGAUGGAGCAACGCCGCGUGAGUGAUGAAGGUCUUCGGAUCGUAAAACUCUGUUAUUAGGGAAGAACAAAUGUGUAAGUAACUAUGCACGUCUUGACGGUACCUAAUCAGAAAGCCACGGCUAACUACGUG
rnacentral:rRNA from 1 species